AUUUAGUCAAUAUUUCAGUUUUUCAAAUAAACUUUUCCUAGUUAAACACUUGAACUCUACCGUAUAGUAAUGCAAUUAUCCUAUACUUUCAUUCUUUUUUGCAAACUUGGUGAUGGUUUGCAGGUGACAAACUCAGAACAAAACAGUUGUAAAGGUGAGACUAGUUAAUGCAGGUGUUCUUUCAAAUGGACCUAGCUACCUGCUCAGGACAGCAGCACUGAAAAGAGGCCCAUAGUAAGGGUUCUCUCUCAUUGGCCAUUGUGGAUGUUAUUGUUCCAUGUUCUUUUGAUCAUUCCAGCAAAUGUUGUUUUGCCUUUGUUACUUUUCACAAAGAUGCUAUACAGUUGCUUGAUAAUUAACUCAAUGUUCUCCCCUUGCUAAUGUUCUGCAGAGCCAGAGGUUGUACACCCAUCCAAUACAGCCAUGGAGCUGGAAAGGAGGAUCGAAGAGAUGAGGAGAAACAAGGCUUUGCCGGAGAGGUUCAAUUUUAGGAGGACAGGAGAAAGGCCGAACGGAGCGUGGCAACCCUGCUGGUCAAAACCAAAACCAGUUAUUCAGCUCAUAUCACCGACUUGUCGGACCAGUGGGAUAGCCUCACCAUCACUUUAAUGAACCAGAUGCCAACUCAGAGAUGAACACCCGUUCGGUGGCAAAGCAGUCCAAAGGAGGCAAAAGGCAUCCCAAAUCAGAGGAUCGAGGGCCACCUGGAGAAGUGUGAAGAGGAGGAGGAGAAUAGACAUUUAGAGGAAUAGAGGCAGCUGAUGAAAUGCACUAUUUGAGGGAUGUGCUUUUACCAACACUGGUCAGAACUGUUGUCUACUACUGUAAUUUAUUGACAAGUUUAUCUUGCCUUAUGUUAGGAGUUGAACCCAUAACAGAGGCAAUAAAAUAAAAAUCACCCCCUAACAUUGACAAGGAAACUCCAUCCCCUCACACAAGGAUGAAGAAAUAAGACACUUGAAAAGGAAGCUGUCUAAUGUAGUAAUGUGUGGUUGACAUCAAUGUUUGUGGUUUGAGAUCUGUAAAGCUUGGCUGUUCUGCUAAUGUGUUUCCGGAAAUGGAGAUGAAUGCAAUGUAAAAUCUUUCUAUGCUGCCCUGUGUGUCUGCUAUAACAUGAACAUGUGUUUGUCAGCUUUCUGACCUGACCUCAAACUGCAGUGAUUUUUUCCCCUUUUAUAAGGUUCACUAUGGUAAUGUGACUCUCAUUAGGUGAAACUACUGUUGUUCAUUAUGACCUAGACUAAGCAAACAUUGACGUUCUCAAAACAUUUGUUUGUAUCCAAUAUUGUAUUCAGUGUGUAGACCUUGAUAACUUGAUAAUAAUGGAUUGGAUUUGCAGCUAGUGCUGUUCUAGGUGCUCCUGGUGCUUUACAUUGUAUGGGGAGUACUCUCCUCAUCCACUGCUAAUGUGAAGUACCCACCUGGAUAAUGCCAUGGCAUCCAUUUUGUGCCAGAAAUCUCACCAUUAGGUCAGAGCGUAGCAAUGUUUUUGUAGCAGGAAACAAAAACUAUUGUUUCUUAUUGGACAAGUUCACAUAGUACCUCCCCGUUUUACUCUGUUUUAGAGCAUUGUUUUCUGUUUCGUCCCUUUUGAACACUGCCCAGCUAAGAGCAGACAAGGCCACACAGAGAAAGCCUAAACUCCCCACUUUAAGACACUUAAAACUGUUGGGUCUAGGGGGCAGUAUCGACAAUUUCGGGAAAAAUAUGUGCCCAUAUUAAACUGCCUCCUACUCAGACUCAGAAGGUAGGAUAUGCAAAUUUUGAUAGAAAACACUCUGACGUUUCUAAAACCGUUUGAAUGGUGUCUGUGAGUAUAACAGAACUCAUAUGGCAAGCAAAAACCUGAGAGAAAUCCUACCAGGAAGUGGAAAUCUGGAUGCAUGGGCUCCCUUCAAGUCGUGUCCUAUUGAAUACACUGUGACGUAGUAAUAAUUGUGCACUUCCUACAGCUUCCACUAGAUGUCGACAGUCUUUACAAAGUUGUUUGAAGCUUCUAUGAUGAACAGAGACCGAAUGACAAGGAGGGGAAGUUGUUGAGGCAGGGGAUGACAUCACUUCUUGGGGCGCGUUCACGAGCGAGGAUCCUCCCGUUCCAAAACCUUUAUCAAGACACAGAAACCGUCCGGUUGAAAUAUUAUUGAAUCUUCACGUUCUGAAGGCCGUUAGAUUGAUGUUUUACAACGUUUGACAUGUUUGAACGAACGUAAAUACAACUUUUUUUUCAACUUUUCGUCGCGACAUCGUCCGCGCGCUUUCUACACUUGGAGUAGCUUACUGGACGCACGAACAACAAGGAGUUAUUUGGAAAUAAAUUAUGGACUUUAUCAAACAAAACAACAUUUGUUGUGGACCUGGG
ensembl:lncRNA